CGGCAGGAGCACGUCUUCUGGCGACAGCAGUCGGGCAGAGGCUGCGCGUCCACCCCAAGCGACAGCAGCGCCGGCGGCAGCAGGAGCAGCAGCAGGAGCGUCAGGGCGGCCCAGGGAACCUAAAGGGGCCAGAAACAAGAUUCCUCAACCCCCUCAGCUCCACGAACACCUCGUAGUGUGGGGCGGAACCGUCACAGGAGUCUGAGGACAAAGCCACCCGAACAGGCACUUCCUGAGGACAAGGCGGCUCCCAGAGCCAGCACCCUCUGCCUGCACUUCUUCCCUAGUCUAAGGCCACAAGCAGAAAGCAACGCCUCACUCUGAACAAUAGCAUCUGGUCCUCCUGCUACAGCCUUUCUGGACUCCCCCAGGUCUACCCAGCUCCCUCCUGGUCUGGACUGGGUGGAGGCAGGGUGUGGUUCUGCAGGGAGCAGAGCUGGACACAAAUCCUGGUACCUCAUGAGUCUGUGUGAGAUGCUAUGUCUCAGUGAACCUUGGCAUGCUCAACUGAGUUAGGAAUCCAUACCAGCCCGGGCACUGAGGAGGAUUCAAGAAGGUGCCAGAAACACACCUGUGUUCUCCUUGGGGAGAGAGCAGAGACCCCGAACUCUCUUCAGACACCACAUGAGGGUCUGCUGCUGGCUCUGGUCCACACACAGUGUCCUCUGCUUCAGUUUCCGCUGCUGCCAGGCAGCUGCCAAGCCCAGUGCCCCCCAGGCCAUCCGGUGCUGGAGGCUGAGCAGCCAGGAUGGCCUGGCAUCCCGACACCUCUGCUGCCAGAACAUGGCCAGCGGGGGCAGCAGCAGCAGCAGCAGCAGCAGCAGCAGCAGCAGCAGCAGCAGCAGGAGAAGCAUCUCCAAGCAGCUCCUGGGAGAAGAAUGGAACAGAGUGUGGCCCUGGGGAGGAUAACCAGGUCACUCCGCCACACACAAAAAACAGAGGAAGAAGACAGCGGGGAUGGGCCAGGGCCCUGCUGGGCAAGCGGUACGGAGGAGAGACCCUCAAGACGCUGGCAUCCUACUAACCAGCAUCUUCAAUCCCCUAUGCCUGUAGCUGGAAGAACAGCUUGAAUAGCUGCUCCCUGUGAAGGCUGAGCACAACAUGGAGCAUUUUAACCCACUCCCAAGUGACUCUGCUUUCCCUGCUUUCCAGGGCAGGAUCUUGCCUGCCCUGGUCCCCUUUCCCCGCUAGAGCCCAGGGGAUAUAUGCAUCCGUCACAGCCCAUUUCUGCCUACUUUCAGCACCCGAGAUCCCUUCUGCUCCCUCAGUGCCUCUGGUCUCUGUACACAGCAGGCCAGAAAGUUGUGGUGAUGACUUUAGAGGGCAGGGCUUGGACAGGAAAUCCGGCCUGACUGGGCGGACCUUGGUGGGGCGGGGAAAGGGUGGGGUGUUCUUAAAGGAACAGUUCACCUAAAGGGUUGGGAGCUGGCUCAGGUUGGCAGAUGAGGGAGUCAGGGCCACGAUAGCGUGAAAGAGAAAGGGAGGUGGUGGAAAGAGUACCUGCACUCCAUUCUGGAGCAGGCUCAGACUUGAAAACAGCUUAUAAACCACAGUUGUGGAGGUGUGGUUGUGCACACCUGUCAUUCCAGCCCUCAGGGAUUUGGCAAGAGGAUCUGGAGUUAAAGGUCAUCCUCAGGUACAGAACAAGUUCAAGGCCACCCUGAGCUUCCCAGAGAUCUUGUCUUAAAAAAAAAUCCUAGGGCUGGAGAGAAGGCUCAUCAGUUAAGAGCACUGGCUGUUCUUCCAGAGGUCCUGAGUUCAAUUCCCAGCAUCCACAUGGUGGCUCACAACCACCUGUAAUGGAAUCUGGUUCCCUCUUCUGGUGUGCAUGAAAACAGAGUGUUCAUAUACAUGAAAUAAACAAAUCUUUAAAACAUAUGCUAGGCAAAUAUGUUAUCAGUUUAGCUUUAUCUUCAGUCCCUGUGAAUCACAGCUUAAGACUUUUUUUUUUCCUCUUAAACUAAAUAGUAUUUCUUUCUGUUGGUGGUGGUGGUGUUUGUUUUGUUUUGUUUUUACGAGACAGGGUUUCUCUGUGUAGCCCUGGUUGUCCUGGAACUCACUCUAUAGACCAGGCUGGCCUCGAACUCAGAGAUCUGCCUGCUUCUGCCUCCCCAGUUCUAAGAUUAAAGGCGUGAGCCACCAGUACCUGGCCUCAUUGUAGUUUUAAUAUACACUUAUGAAUGAUGACCAUCUUUCCAUGUCUUUAUUGCCCAUAUAUAGGGAAAUACCUAGUCAUAUAACUUACUCACAUUUGAACUGUCUGUCUGUCUUUCUUUCUUUCUUUCUUUCUUUCUUUCUUUCUUUCUUCCUUUCUUUUUUCCUUCUUGCAAGAAUCUCUUGUAGGCCAGGUGUGGUGGCUCAUGCCAGUAAUCCCAGCAUUCUGGGAGGCAGAGGCAGGCCCAUCAUUGUGAGUUUGAGGCCAGCCUGGUCUACAAAGUUAGUUCAGGACAGCCAAGGGUACACAGAGAAACCCUAUCUUGAAAAACAAAACAACAACAACAGCAAAAAAGCAUCUCUUCUAUACUUUGCAUUCAUGCCUCCUGAUGUAUAUUUGGCUAAGUACCCUGUAUUGGGCCACCACUGUUCAUUUUCUCAGGAUGUUCUUGAGGGGCAGGAGCUUUACUUCUGAAGAUGCUUUUCCACUCAGAAGCAUCAUGCUUGCUGCUACCAUUUUUGUACCUGAUUUUAGGGGAGAGUAUAUAGUUUUUUACCAGUAUGUUGGGAGCUGUCAGAUUUCAGCAUCUUUUUUUAAAAGUUUUAUUAAUUAUACUUUAUUCACUUUGUAUCCCUCCAUAAGCCCCUCCCUCCUCCCCUCCCAAUCCCACCCUCCCUUCCCCUUCUUCACGAAUGCCCUUCCCCAAGUCCACUGAUAGGGGAGGUCCUCCUCUCCAUUCUGAUCUUAGUCUAUCUUCAGCAUCUUCUUAAAUGGUGCUACUGUUAGAGAACCAGGCCUGACACCCCCAAAAGUCAUCAGGAACUAGUGACACCCCUCCCCCCAAAGUUACCAGGAACUAGACCAUGGAUCACCAAUUCUAGGUCAUAAAAUUCCCUACCCAAGGAAUAGCCUGAGGAUAACCACAAGAAUGGGGGUGGGGCAUCUGUUCUGGGCAGCCCACUGACCUUGUAGUAGAACGCUCAUGGCACAGAAAAUACCUAACAGUCCUGAAGACUAUAGGUCGCUUGCUCAAUGUUAUGUUAGCCAGUCACUUUGUAACAAGCUUGCCCUUGCUGAAUGUCAUUCAGUCUCCUAACUGUUAAGCUGGGACUUCCCGAUUCUUGCUCAAACCCCAAUAAAAACCCUGCUCGGGGCUCUCCUCUCUGA